AUGAUUCUUGAUGAUGAACUAUUUGAGAAUCAUAUCUACUCUUAAGUCUUUAAUACUUAGUGAGAAAUUGAUUAUCUAAGAGCUAGCUAGGAUCUUAGCAAGGCUUGUACUUUAGUGACUUGUAUCUUAGCAAGAUCAAGAUUCUUAAUUUUACUCGAUAAUAGAUAAUGCUGAGUUUUGUCUCAUCAUGUCUUUAUCUAUUAUCGAAAGUUGUAAGCUGAAU
rnacentral:lncRNA from 1 species